ACGUCAACAACAGAUGCAUAUCAAGAAGAUACUGUAACUUUGCAGCCUUUAGUCUUAAAUGAAGAAGGAUUACCUGAGACAUUAAAUGAUCCAGCGGGUGGUGAAGUGUUGAUUUCGGAAUUAGUUGAAGAAGAAGAAGAAGAUGAGACAUAUCAUUAUUCAACUUCAGACAAUGAUGAAUAUUACUUAGAUUAGUCAACUCUAAGCUAUAUGGCCAGGGGUAAUGGUAAAGAAGAUGCAAGUAAUGCUGAUCGUGGUGUUUUAACGGGUACAGGUAGAGGCCGAGGCCGAGGUGAUCCAGAAAUUGUUCGUGGUCGAGGCAUUAUAGCCACUGCACCUUCUUCAGCUGACUUUAGAGCCCCAGCACUUACUCCAACAACCCCUGUAUCAUAUUCAGCCCCUGCAGCCCCUCCACUUGCUCCAGUUGCCCCCACUGCCCCAACUUCUUCAAGUUCUGUUCCUGGAUCGAGUGCUAGUCGAUCUGCAUCCUCAUCCUCAUCACAUGCUAUUAGGACCUACUGUUAUAUGCAUGCAAGCGGAAAGUAAGUAUAAUGUAUAACAUUACUUAUCAUUGUAUUACAUAUCUUUGUUAUUAGUUUUCAUUUUGGUUAAUUAUUUAAAAAUAAUUAUAUUGAAUAUUUAUAAAUUAUGCUCGCAUUAUUAAACUAUUACAGUCUUAUGCCUUCUGAGAAGACAUCUGGUGCCUGCACAAAGAUUUUUCAAAAGUACAAUGUAGAGGAGGGUUCUUCCUGGAAGAAUAUCCCACAAUCCACAAAAGAUUUUUAUUUCAGAGAGUUUGAG